rnacentral:rRNA from 1 species
AUGUACUCGUCCCAGUCACUAAGCCGCGUCAACAACAUCUGCACCUCCCUCAUCAACACGCAGAAGGGUAACCAGUCCGCCGCAUCCUACUUCGCCUCUAUGCUCGGACUGGCUGACGAGCUGGCGGCGGCUGGCAAGCCGAUUCAAGAUGAUGAACUCAUCUCCUACAUCCUCCAUGGCCUUGAUCAGGACUAUCAGCCCCUGGUCUCAGCUCUGGAUGCCCGCGUCACACCCGCCUCCCUCGACGAACUCUUCUCCAUGCUCAACAACUUUGAUCAACGCAUGGCGCACUUCCACGGCUCCGGCGGCGGCGGCUUCAAGUCCUCUGCCAACGCUGCAUCUCGUGGGCGUGGUGGCGGCUCUUGCUCAUGUGGCCCCUCUCGUGGCAAGGGGAGGUCAGGUGGCGGUGGACACAACGGCGGCGGCGGGCGAUCUGGUAACAGGGGGCACUACGGUGGUGGUUCUGGCAGGUCUUGCCCGGACACUCCGCGUUUUCAGAUCUAUGGCAAGUCGGGCCACACAACCAAAGACUGCUGGUACCGCUACGAGGAAGAUGAAGAUGACUCCCAAGAUGAGGACAAGAUCGCCGCAGCUGCAGAUGGCUCCUACGGGGUUGACACCAAUUGGUAUGUCGACAACGGCGCCACAAACCAUAUCACAAGUGAACCUGAGAAAGUCACAAUGAAAGAAAAAUACUGUGGAAAAGAUCAGAUCCACACGGUGAGUGGAGAAGGAUCAGGCAACAAAGAAAAUCCUCUAUCGAGGUAG